rnacentral:rRNA from 1 species
GACGAACGCUGGCGGCGUGCUUAACACAUGCAAGUCGAACGGAAAGGCCCUGCUUGCAGGGUGCUCGAGUGGCGAACGGGUGAGUAACACGUGGGUGAUCUGCCCCUUACUUUGGGAUAAGCCUGGGAAACUGGGUCUAAUACUGGAUAGGACCAUGCUGUAGGUGGUGUGGUGGAAAGAUUAGUUUCGGUAAGGGAUGAGCUCGCGGCCUAUCAGCUUGUUGGUGGGGUAAUGGCCUACCAAGGCGUCGACGGGUAGCCGGCCUGAGAGGGUGGACGGCCACAUUGGGACUGAGAUACGGCCCAGACUCCUACGGGAGGCAGCAGUGGGGAAUAGUGCACAAUGGGCGCAAGCCUGAUGCAGCGACGCCGCGGGGGGGAUGACGGCCUUCGGGUUGUAAACUCCUUUCAGCCAUGACGAAGCCCUUGUGGUGACGGUAGUGGUAGAAGAAGCACCGGCUAACUACGUG